GGUGAACGCUGGCGGCGUGCCUAAUACAUGCAAGUCGAGCGAACGGACGAGAAGCUUGCUUUUCUGAUGUUAGCGGCGGACGGGUGAGUAACACGUGGAUAACCUACCUAUAAUACUGGGAUAACUUCGGGAAACCGGAGCUACUACCGGAUAAUAUUUUGAACCGCAUGGUUCAAAAGUGAAAGACGGUCUUGCUGUCACUUAUAGAUGGAUCCGCGCUGCAUUAGCUAGUUGGUAAGGUAACGGCUUACCAAGGCAACGAUGCAUAGCCGACCUGAGAGGGUGAUCGGCCACACUGGAACUGAGACACGGUCCAGACUCCUACGGGAGGCAGCAGUAGGGAAUCUUGCGCAAUGGGCGAAAGCCUGAUGGAGCAACGCCGCGUGAGUGAUGAAGGUCUUCGGAUCGUAAAACUCUGUUAUUAGGGAAGAACAUAUGUGUAAGUAAAUGUGCACAUCUUGAAGGUACCUAAUCAGAAAGCCACGGCUAACUACGUG
rnacentral:rRNA from 1 species